rnacentral:rRNA from 1 species
AUUGAACGCUGGCGGCAGGCCUAACACAUGCAAGUAGAGCGGAGCGGCGGAAGGGCGAGUAAUACCUAGGAAUCUGCCUGGUAGUGGGGGAUAAAGUGCGGAAACGGGCGCUAAUACCGCAUACUAUCAGAUGAGACUAGGUCGGAUUAGCUAGUUGGUGGGUUAAAGGCCUACCAAGUCGACGCACCGUAACUGGUCUGAGAGGAUGAUCAGUCACACUGGAACUUAGACACGGUCCAGACUCCGACGUGAGGCAGCAGUGGGGAAUAGUGGACAAUGGGCGAAAGCCUGAUCCAGCCAUGCCGCGUGUGUGAAGAAGGUCUUCGGAUUGUAAAGCACUUUAAGUUGGGAGGCGUUACCAACAGAAUAAGCACCGGCUAACUUCGUGCCAGCAGCCGCGGUAAUAC